ensembl:snoRNA
UGGAUCAGUGAUGACAACUGGUUGUCUAGGAUGAUGAAUGAUUUGUGUCUGGAGCUCUUAAGGUCCAA